UACGAAGGGGGCUAGCGUUGUUCGGAAUUACUGGGCGUAAAGCGUGCGCAGGCGGCUUCUCAAGUCAGGGGUGAAAGCCCAGAGCUCAACUCUGGAAUUGCCUUUGAGACUGAGUGGCUUGAGUACGAGAGAGGUGAGUGGAAUUCCCAGUGUAGAGGUGAAAUUCGUAGAUAUUGGGAAGAACACCGGUGGCGAAGGCGGCCUUCUGGACAGUGACUGACGCUGAGACACGAAAGCGUGGGGAGCAAACAGG
rnacentral:rRNA from 1 species